GCCGGGCAUGGUGGUGUGUGCCUGUAAUCCCAGCUACUCGGGAGGCUGAGGCAGGAGAAUCGCUUGAACCCAGGAGGUGGAGGUUGCAGUGAGCCGAGAUCAUGUCACUGCACUCCAGCCUGGGCAACAGAGUGAGACUCCGUCUCAA
rnacentral:SRP_RNA from 1 species